GAAAUAAAUUAAUAAAGCUUCUAACUUUAAUUUAGAUACUUAACUAUCAUUAUUUCU
rnacentral:tRNA from 1 species